rnacentral:rRNA from 1 species
GGGGAAAGCUGCAGGCUGAUUCUGGGCGUCGGACGAUGAAACCGGGUUGAUUGUGUGGAUUAGUGGCGAAAGGGUGAGUAACACGUGAGUUACCUGCCCUUGACUCUGGGAUAAGCCUGGGAAACUGGGUCUAAUACCGGAUAUGACCGACUAUCGCAUGGUGGUUGGUGGAAAGCUUUUGUGGUUUUGGAUGGACUCGCGGCCUAUCAGCUUGUUGGUGGGGUAAUGGCCUACCAAGGCGACGACGGGUAGCCGGCCUGAGAGGGUGACCGGCCACACUGGGACUGAGACACGGCCCAGACUCCUACGGGAGGCAGCAGUGGGGAAUAUUGCACAAUGGGCGCAAGCCUGAUGCAGCGACGCCGCGUGAGGGAUGACGGCCUUCGGGUUGUAAACCUCUUUCAGUAGGGAAGAAGCCGCAAGGUGACGGUACCUGCAGAAGAAGCGCCGGCUAACUACGUGCCCAGCAGCCGCGGUAAUACGUAGGGCGCAAGCGUUAUCCGGGAAUUAUUGGGCGUAAAGAGCUCGUAGGCGGUUUGUCGCGUCUGCCGUGAAAGUCCGGGGCUCAACUCCGGAUCUGCGGUGGGUACGGGCAGACUAGAGUGAUGUAGGGGAGACUGGAAUUCCUGGUGUAGCGGUGAAAUGCGCAGAUAUCAGGAGGAACACCGAUGGCGAAGGCAGGUCUCUGGGCAUUAACUGACGCUGAGGAGCGAAAGCAUGGGGAGCGAACAGGAUUAGAUACCCUGGUAGUCCAUGCCGUAAACGUUGGGCACUAGGUGUGGGGGACAUUCCACGUUUUCCGCGCCGUAGCUAACGCAUUAAGUGCCCCGCCUGGGGAGUACGGCCGCAAGGCUAAAACUCAAAGGAAUUGACGGGGGCCCGCACAAGCGGCGGAGCAUGCGGAUUAAUUCGAUGCAACGCGAAGAACCUUACCAAGGCUUGACAUGAACCAGACCGCCGCAGAAACAUGUUUUCCACUUGUGGCUGGUUUACAGGUGGUGCAUGGUUGUCGUCAGCUCGUGUCGUGAGAUGUUGGGUUAAGUCCCGCAACGAGCGCAACCCUCGUUCCAUGUUGCCAGCGGGUAGUGCCGGGGACUCAUGGGAGACUGCCGGGGUCAACUCGGAGGAAGGUGGGGACGACGUCAAAUCAUCAUGCCCCUUAUGUCUUGGGCUUCACGCAUGCUACAAUGGCCGGUACAAAGGGUUGCGAUACUGUGAGGUGGAGCUAAUCCCAAAAAGCCGGUCUCAGUUCGGAUUGGGGUCUGCAACUCGACCCCAUGAAGUCGGAGUCGCUAGUAAUCGCAGAUCAGCAACGCUGCGGUGAAUACGUUCCCGGGCCUUGUACACACUACCCGUCAAGUCACG